GAUGAACGCUGGCGGCGUGCCUAAUACAUGCAAGUCGAACGCUUCACUUCGGUGAAGAGUGGCGAACGGGUGAGUAAUACAUAAGUAACCUGGCAUCUACAGGGGGAUAACUGAUGGAAACGUCAGCUAAGACCGCAUAGGUGUAGAGAUCGCAUGAACUCUAUAUGAAAAGUGCUACGGGACUGGUAGAUGAUGGACUUAUGGCGCAUUAGCUUGUUGGUAGGGUAACGGCCUACCAAGGCGACGAUGCGUAGCCGACCUGAGAGGGUGACCGGCCACACUGGGACUGAGACACGGCCCAGACUCCUACGGGAGGCAGCAGUAGGGAAUUUUCGGCAAUGGGGGAAACCCUGACCGAGCAACGCCGCGUGAAGGAAGAAGUAAUUCGUUAUGUAAACUUCUGUCAUAGAGGAAGAACGGUGGAUAUAGGGAAUGAUAUCCAAGUGACGGUACUCUAUAAGAAAGCCACGGCUAACUACG
rnacentral:rRNA from 1 species